rnacentral:rRNA from 1 species
GAUGAACGCUGGCGGCGUGCCUAAUACUUGCAAGUCGAGCGAACAGACGAGGAGCUUGCUCCUCUGACGUUAGCGGCGGACGGGUGAGUAACACGUGGAUAACCUACCUAUAAGACUGGGAUAACUUCGGGAAACCGGAGCUAAUACCGGAUAAUAUAUUGAACCGCAUGGUUCAAUAGUGAAAGACGGUUUUGCUGUCACUUCUAGAUGGAUCCGCGCCGCAUUAGCUAGUUGGUAAGGUAACGGCUUACCAAGGCAACGAUGCGUAGCCGACCUGAGAGGGUGAUCGGCCACACUGGAACUGAGACACGGUCCAGACUCCUACGGGAGGCAGCAGUAGGGAAUCUUCCGCAAUGGGCGAAAGCCUGACGGAGCAACGCCGCGUGAGUGAUGAAGGUCUUCGGAUCGUAAAACUCUGUUAUUAGGGAAGAACAAAUGUGUAAGUAACUAUGCACGUCUUGACGGUACCUAAUCAGAAAGCCACGGCUAACUACGUG